GUGAAUCAUCGAAUCUUUGAACGCAAAUUGCACUCUCCGGUUUUCCGGGAGAGUAUGCCUGUUUGAGGGUCAGCCUAAAAAAGAUCGACAUUGUUGCUGUUUUAUGGUGACUUUCGUCGGAGAUGGGUAAUCUAAAUCCCCGUUUUAAGCGCCUUAAAAUUUUUUUUUAGGAUUUAAAGAAGUUUCUUAAGUUUUUUCUUUUCGGUUUAGGUU
rnacentral:misc_RNA from 1 species